GAUGAACGCUGGCGGUGUGCCUAACACAUGCAAGUCGAGCGGCAGCGAGGGGUGCUUGCACCCUGUCGGCGAGCGGCGGACGGCUGAGUAACGCGUGGGAACGUGCCCCAAAGUGAGGAAUAACUGCCCGAAAGGGUAGCUAAUACCGCAUAUUAUCUUCGGAUCAAAGGAUUUAUCCGCUUUGGGAGCGGCUCGCGUCGGAUUAGGUAGUUGGUGAGGUAAUGGCUCACCAAGCCGACGAUCCGUAGCUGGUCUGAGAGGAUGACCAGCCAGACUGGAACUGAGACACGGUCCAGACUCCUACGGGAGGCAGCAGUGAGGAAUCUUCCACAAUGGGCGAAAGCCUGAUGGAGCAACGCCGCGUGCAGGACGAAGGCCUUCGGGUUGUAAACUGCUUUUAUAAGUGAGGAAUAUGACGGUAACUUAUGAAUAAGGAUCGGCUAACUACGUG
rnacentral:rRNA from 1 species